GACGAACGCUGGCGGCGUGCUUAACACAUGCAAGUCGAGCGGUAAGGCCCUUUCGGGGGUACACGAGCGGCGAACGGGUGAGUAACACGUGGGUGACCUGCCCUCAGCUCUGGGAUAAGCCUGGGAAACCGGGUCUAAUACUGGAUAUGACUCCAUGACGCAUGUUGUGGGGUGGAAAGCCUUGUGCGGCUGAGGAUGGGCCCGCGGCCUAUCAGCUUGUUGGUGGGGUGANGGCCUACCAAGGCGACGACGGGUAGCCGGCCUGAGAGGGCGACCGGCACACUGGGACUGAGACACGGCCCAGACUCCUACGGGAGGCAGCAGUGGGGAAUCUUGCGCAAUGGGCGAAAGCCUGACGCAGCGACGCCGCGUGAGGGAUGACGGCCUGG
rnacentral:rRNA from 1 species